rnacentral:rRNA from 1 species
GACGAACCGUGCGAACGUUAUUCGGAAUCAUUGGGCUUAAAGGGCGCGUAGGCGGACGGCCGCGUCGAGUGCUGAAAUCCCCCGGCUCAACCGGGGAACGGGCCUCGAAACGGGUCGUCUCGAGUGGAGGAGGGGGAACCUGGAACGUCCGGUGGAGCGGUGAAAUGCGUUGAGAUCGGACGGAACGCCGACGGCGAAAGCAAGGUCCUGGACUGCGACUGACGUUGAGGCGCGACAGCGUGGGGAGCAAACAGG